UACUGAUAUGAAAGUCAAGAUUUUGGAUAACUAUUAUCAAACACUACAAUUCAUCUUUAGUUAGUUAAAUUGGUGUUGAGAGCAACAAUCAUUUUCAGUUUCUCCUUCUGCUGUGUGACGCUGUGUUCCUCUCUAGUUCCUCUUUCCCACAGGUUUCUGCUAAAAACUGAGAAUCUGUCUCUUCCACUCUGCUUUGAUGUCACCGGAGACGUUCGCCUUAAACUACUUCACCAUCCCAACAGAGAGUUGUUUGUGAAUGGUGAGCUUGAUACGGUAACGAAUGGAGGCUUCAGAAGGAUUGUCAUCCACCUUAAGACUGACCUUCAUGUUGAGGUUGACACCAAUGUCAUCACUGUACGAGAGGGACAGACAACGACACGCCACACUGGACAGGAUCUCAUCACAGCUGGAAGUUUGACAGUGAUGAGGCGCGACAAGGAAAUAGAUGUCGCAGUUGGAGACACACGCAUGGUCAUCUUUAUUCAUGAGAAGGAUGGCGUAGAAUUCCUUUGGCCGGUUUUAAGACAGCAGCCACUGGACAACAACGUUACAGGAAUUUUGGCUCUAAAGUCAGCCUUUUAUGAGGAGGUGCAACAAACUCCCUCAACAAAACUUCAGAUCAAAGACAGGGAGAUUGACGUUACCAGGGCCAAUGCUGUUGACUACAGUUUUGUCUCUUCCCUGACACUGGACUGCUGGCUCAUGUCUGCAGAGUCUGUUCUGCAGAGACGCCUGGAUGAUUUCAUCGUUACUCAACUUUAACUGGGAAUUAUGUUGAAUCACUUGCAAAGAUUUCAUUUUAAAGAAAAAAAGGCAAACACUGAUUCAUCUUGGAAAAUACUUUCCACCGGUUACAGACAUAAACAAAUAAAUAGUAUCCCAGAUC